GCUAAGUCUGCUGUGAGAUAAAGUACUUCUCACUCAAGCACACAUUCACUAGGAUGACAUUCAAUCCUUAAAGGAAACGACCCUGUCAACAGCAUGGUGUUCCGACUUGGACUUUGUGUGAUCUUGCUGUGUGCUUGCGGAUAUGUUACCGAAUCCAGUGACUGUCAAAUUCGUGACAACUACGACACCUUUAUAAAAUCCGUGGACUACUUUCUGGCUGCCAUGGAUAAAACAUGUGGGAACACGGACAUGCGCAGUGAAAGCAAGGCAACACACCUACAGACUAUGGACAACCGUAUAAAUGACCUCGAGAAGAAAGUCGCCAAUCUGACGGCUGAGCUAGGUGUAGAUUGUGGCCCACCGACUCCUAUAGAAGGCACAGACGUUGUCUACAGUUCAACAGGUCUUCAUUCUGUCGCAAAGUACAGAUGCAAGAAGGGUUUGCUGAACAAGAGUCCUGGUGACCAGAUGAUGAGCUUCUGUCUGAAGGACGGGUACUGGACGAUGGUCAGCACGACGUGUGUCAACGUAUCCGGUUGCUGGAUGAUAUCUGGUUCAAGAGUGUUAUAUACUGGCACUCAGUCAAGAACCAGAUCCGGCAAGACCUGCCAGCGGUGGGAUGCUCAGGAGCCACACUCUCACGGCUACGAAGACGGGCAGUUCAUUAUCUCAGGCUUUGACUCGCUCCAAACUGUUAAGGAAUCUGCCAACUACUGCCGUGACCCAUCACGCAGCGGGUAUUUGUGGUGUUACACCUCGAAUCCAAAGAAGCGUUGGGAAAAGUGUGAUGUCCCCAUGUGUUCGAUGCUCCCCUCUCCUCCACCCUCCCACUAACGGAAGCAGUAUUGCCUGUUCUAGGUUCUGUGCUCCCCUCUCCUCCACCCUCCUACUAACGGAAGCAGUAUUGCCUGUUCUAGGUUCUGUGCUCCCCUCUCCUCCACCCUCCUACUAACGGAAGCAGUAUUGCCUGUUCUAGGUUCUGUGCUCCCCUCUCCUCCACCCUCCUACUAACGGAAGCAGUAUUGCCUGUUCUAGGUUCUGUGCUCCCCUCUCCUCCACCCUCCUGCUAACGGAAGCAGUAUUGCCUGUUCUAGGUUCUAUGCUAUACUUCAAACUACAUUACUAAUAAAUGAACCUUUUUCCUUCGAAGAUUGAAAACGCGUCCUGGUUUUGGUCUGACUUAGGCCUGGAGCGGUAGCUGCUUUUGGCAGCGUGGUAGUUGCCAAGCAAUGGUAGCGUUUAAAUAUGCUACCAUGGGGGCCGGACAGCGGUAGCAGUCUCAGGCCAGCAGAGCCAGCUGUGAAACGCCGUUGGCCACGACAUUGGCCAUGGCAACGGUAGCAUUUUGGUAUACACAACUAGCAGCUUAGUGGCCCACCGGUACCUGCACAUCCUCGGCCAUUUAACCCAAUCUCAUCUUCUGUUUUUAUUAUAGGCACGGGCAUCCACGGCUCAGCGGCCCGUGCCUCUCCUUGGCAUAUCGCGGGAUAGUUGUUGUGUUAAACCUCGAAUCAAAAGGCACGUUGAGAAAAGUGCGAUGUCCCUAUGUGUUCCAUGCCAAAUUGAUUUGUUUGUGCAAGUACAUAACUGACACAAUGGACCCCUCUCGUCCGCCUUCCUACUAACGGAAGCAGUAUUGCCUGUUCUAGGUUCUAUGCUAUACUUCAAACUACAUUACUAAUAAAUGAACCUUUUUUCCUUUGAAGAUUGAAAAACGUCCUGGUGUUUUAUUUGUAAUAGUGAUAAUUAAAACAAAUUAAACUUCAAAUUCGAAUACCGCA